UUCUAAUAGAUAUAAUUAUUAGUAAAAUCUGCUCAAUGAAUUUAUUCAAUAGCCGCAAUUUUGUGCUAAGGUAGCAUAAUCAUUUGUCUUUUAAUUAAAGACUAGAAUGAAAGAUUUAACUUUUAAAUUUCUAUAAUUAAAUUUAUUUUUAAAUUAUUUUAAAUAUUAAAAAAUAUUUAUAAAUAAAAAAGACGAUAAGACCCUAUUGAACUUUACUUAAGUUUAACUGGGAAAGUUAAUUAAAUAUUAUUUUAAUAAUUUUUUUUUUAAUUAAAGAUCUAAAAAAUUUAAUUAUAUAAUCAAGUUACCAUAGGGAUAACAGCGUAAUUAUUUUUAAAAGAUCUUAUUUAAAAAAUAGAUUACGACCUCGAUGUUGAAUAAUUUUCUUAUAUAUGCAAUAAUAUACUAAAGAAA
rnacentral:rRNA from 1 species